rnacentral:rRNA from 1 species
CCCUUAGAUGUCCGGGGCUGCACGCGCGCUACACUGGAGAAAUCAGCAUGCCUUCAUACCUGGCCCGAAAGGGUCGGGUAACCCGCUGAAACUUCUCCGUGAUUGGGAUCGGGAAUUGCAAUUAUUUCCCUUGAACGAGGAAUUCCCAGUAAGUGUGGGUCAUAAGCUCGCGUUGAUUACGUCCCUGCCCUUUGUACACACCGCCCGUCGCUGCCCGGGACUGAGCCGUUUCGAGAAAAGCGGGGACUGCUGCUGUCGGGGCUUUCGGGCCUUGGCUUCGGUGGAAACCGCUUUAAUCGCAGUGGCUUGAACCGGGCAAAAGUCGUAACA